CCGUAUUAGCUAGUUGGUAAGGUAACGGCUUACCAAGGCAACGAUACGUAGCCGACCUGAGAGGGUGAUCGGCCACACUGGAACUGAGACACGGUCCAGACUCCUACGGGAGGCAGCAGUAGGGAAUCUUCCGCAAUGGACGAAAGUCUGACGGAGCAACGCCGCGUGAGUGAUGAAGGUUUUCGGAUCGUAAAACUCUGUUAUUAGGGAAGAACAAAUGUGUAAGUAACUGUGCACAUCUUGACGGUACCUAAUCAGAAAGCCACGGCUAACUACGUGCCAGCAGCCGCGGUAAUACGUAGGUGGCAAGCGUUAUCCGGAAUUAUUGGGCGUAAAGCGCGCGUAGGCGGUUUCUUAAGUCUGAUGUGAAAGCCCACGGCUCAACCGUGGAGGGUCAUUGGAAACUGGGAAACUUGAGUACAGAAGAGGAAAGUGGAAUUCCAUGUGUAGCGGUGAAAUGCGCAGAGAUAUGGAGGAACACCAGUGGCGAAGGCGACUUUCUGGUCUGUAACUGACGCUGAUGUGCGAAAGCGUGGGGAUCAAACAGGAUUAGAUACCCUGGUAGUCCACGCCGUAAACGAUGAGUGCUAAGUGUUAGGGGGUUUCCGCCCCUUAGUGCUGCAGCUAACGCAUUAAGCACUCCGCCUGGGGAGUACGACCGCAAGGUUGAAACUCAAAGGAAUUGACGGGGACCCGCACAAGCGGUGGAGCAUGUGGUUUAAUUCGAGGCAACGCGAAGAACCUUACCAAAUCUUGACAUCCUUUGAAAACUCUAGAGAUAGAGCCUUCCCCUUCGGGGGACAAAGUGACAGGUGGUGCAUGGUUGUCGUCAGCUCGUGUCGUGAGAUGUUGGGUUAAGUCCCGCAACGAGCGCGACCCUUAAACUUAGUUGCCAGCAUUUAGUUGGGCACUCUAGGUUGACUGCCGGUGACAAACCGGAGGAAGGUGGGGAUGACGUCAAAUCAUCAUGCCCCUUAUGAUUUGGGCUACACACGUGCUACAAUGGACAAUACAAAGGGCAGCUAAACCGCGAGGUCAUGCAAAUCCCAUAAAGUUGUUCUCAGUUCGGAUUGUAGUCUGCAACUCGACUACAUGAAGCUGGAAUCGCUAGUAAUCG
rnacentral:rRNA from 1 species